GAAGGGGUGAUUUCGGAAACGGCUUCGGCUGAUUUUCCCGUGUUUAUUUUGACAGACUAAAAAAGUGAUUGGAGGUCCCAAGUAGGCUCUGUAACAAGUCUUAGUCUAGACCCUGUUUCAAUAUUUCUUUUUAUGUUUAAGCUUUCUUGUCUCUGACCCUGUUGUUGUCUGUGUAAAAAACCCAAAAUAUUCUUCGUUUUUACUACUUUUUUAGUGACUGCAUAAAGAAGUAAAAGUUCGAACAAAUUAUGGCUUUGAAAUAGUUUUGUGCUUGACUUUUUCAUGUCAAAUUGUUGAUUCAAUAUGUUGUGGGGUUCAUGCAAUGUUGAAGUAUAUGCUGUUCUGCAAUUCUGCUACAGGAAAAUUUCUGGUACCCUAAUCCAUUAUCCCUUUCAUGGUUUAAAAUUAGUGAGAAAGUUGUUAAUGGUGCGCAUGUAUCAAGUUCAACGAGUACGUGAUGGGAAACACUUUGCUACCCGAAGAGUAGAUGCGAUACAGAAGGGAAACAUUGUAUUCACAUUACUAGCUCCAUUUCAGAAAGAAGAAGGGUUUGAACACCAGGAAGUAACAAUGGCUUCUGUACCUGCUCCAGAGAUGCUUCCAUCGAUGGAAGAGACGUCUCACGGAUCCACAUCUUCCAAGGACUUAUGGGAACAAGGUGGCCACUACAAAUUUCAUCCAUUGGCCCAUUGAGAUACAGUUUUGUGAGCCCAAUGCUUCAACCAAUCAGACUAAAUCUCCUCCAAGUUUGAGGUAUUGAGCAAAAGGCAACUCUCUGAUGAUCAGGCCUUGCAUAGGCAAGUAAAACCAUUUUAUAAAUAUAUAUAUAUAUAUAUAUAUAUACAAGGUGGGUUCUGCUUUGCUUGAAUAAAAGCUGAGCAGAAUAUCUCAUAAUGAAUGAGCAAUGUGGCCUUUUGUAUUGUUCUGCGUAGUUUUUGAGGGAACCUUAUACUGUAAUUAUUCGUAUAUUCCAGUUAAGUUAACAUGCCAUAUCAUCUAUGUGUCAUAUUUACAUGAUUGAAAAUCAGCCUCACUGUUAUUUUGACCCUUCGUAGAGGUCAGGAUGAAAAUUUUUGUUGGUGGGCCUUGCCCCAAGAAAGGUUUACUUGGCAUAUAUAGAAGAGCUCUUGGGACAGUUUACCAGCACAACUAAUGCUCUAUGCAAUGUUUAAUGUACUCUUAAUCAAAUAUAAAUUCGAAUAUUAUUAAUGGUAUCUGGAUAAAGGUCCAAUUUACUUGGCUUUAUUUUUGUUCCUAUUUACAGAUGUGUAGUGGCAUAUAAUUCUGAUCUGAUAUUUCUUCAAGUAAGUAUGAAUACCCACCAUAGGAAGAAUUUGAAGACAAGUGCUGUUAGUCUGGACCACUGGAUGCACUUUCACCGGCCUCUCAGAGCUGAUGACUGCCUAUUAUUUGUGCUUGCAAGUUUGUUUUGGCUUUUUCCCCCAGAUAAACAGUCCCGCUGCCUACAAUGCACGUGGUUUUUUUUCUGCUAAAAUUUUCAAUAGAAGGAGAGAGCAUGUUGCAUCGGCAACUCAAGAGGGCCUAAUUAGGGUGAUUAAAAGUCCAAUUCCACCUGUGACUUCGAAGCUGUGAACUGGUUGAUGCUAGGUCAUGUCAAUGGAGUAUUAUGCUGAACUUUUGGUUAUCCAUCAGGUUUAUGUGCCAAGAUCUCCUUCCUCCCCACCCCCCCCCCCCC